GAUCCUGGCUCAGGAUGAACGCUAGCGGCAGGCUUAACACAUGCAAGUCGAGGGGCAGCAUUUUAGUUUGCUUGCAAACUGAAGAUGGCGACCGGCGCACGGGUGAGUAACACGUAUCCAACCUGCCGAUAACUCCGGGAUAGCCUUUCGAAAGAAAGAUUAAUACCGGAUAGCAUACGAAUAUCGCAUGAUAUUUUUAUUAAAGAAUUUCGGUUAUCGAUGGGGAUGCGUUCCAUUAGUUUGUUGGCGGGGG
rnacentral:rRNA from 1 species